CUGAACUAUAAAUGGUAGAAAAUUAACUGCGUCAUUACAAAUUAAAGGAUAAUAAGUGUAUGGAGAGUUUGUUUCAUUGCUGUUGUUUUGUUGACGAGCACACAAUCAUAUGCAGGCUCUCAGAAAAUAUCCGAUGCAGAUGAACAGGUUUCAAUUUGUUUACAAGAAUAUACACCAGAAUUACCUAUAACCUUAACGUGGACAACAACUGAUGGUCAAAGUACCGACAUGUAUGUAGUUAAAAAACUCAUUGCAAAUUGUGAGCCUAAAUUUAGUGAAGCCUUUCUUUAUCCGGACGUGAGUGCUGAUGACUAUGAGGCGCAUAUUGAUGAGUAUGGAUCUUGCACUGUAAUAGUCAGACUUCUGUUUGAGACGGAAACCACAUUUAUGAUCAAUUCAAACACGGGAGGUUUGAAUAAAGCAAUGCUUAACAACCAUUUGCUACAUUCGAACGCUUCGUGGGCCUGUGCAAGGGUUAAAAGAGGGGAGGGAUCUAGCCAAAACAGUCAUGCGUCGCUGUCGCAUGCGUCGGUAGCAAUUAUUUCAUCUGUUGUUGUUGUUGUUGUUGGGGCGAUCUUUAGUGUACUUUACAUAUGUAUUAAAAGACAGUGUAGGUUUUCACCAACGAAGAAUUAACCUGUUUAACAUAAUUAAUAAUAUAAUGUUAUUAAUUAGGUGAUUUCAUAUUGGCCUAGUUAUUUGUCCGAGGUUAGCCUUUCGGGCUCAGGCAAAUACAGAUGACCGAUGACAAAUAACUGGGCCAAUAUGAAAUCACCUAAUUAAUAAGUAUUUUAUUAACUAACUAUUUCCAUUUUGUUUAAAAACAUUCUUAUAAAUUACCUUUAGUUCACAGUGAAGCCGUAUUUAUCCCUUAUUCAAUCAUGGUGUCUGCUUUUCUAUACUUGACUUUGCUGAUUUUGACAUGCAUCCUUAGAGUGACAUUGCAUAUACUUAUGAAUAAAGCACUGUACAUUGUAAGGAAGCAUGUCUUUUCGUCUUAAAUUCGUAAAUCAUUUGCCAAAACGUCAAAUGUUUCACCUGCGUCGUCCAUUUUGUCGGUGUACAAAAUCGUAAUAGUCGUAAAAUCCACAAACGGGUUAAAUACAACUGUAAUAUCAAACCGUACAAGGUGGUUCAAUCAUUCAAUAGGUUCAAGUAUUCCAAAUAGGUUAAUACGAAGCACAAAUUUUUCAAAGCAGUUGGAAAACGAAAAACAAAAUGGCUACCUUUAAAAAUUAUUUCCGGCAUAUUUCUCAUAUUAGGCCAGUUUCGACAGCCAAUGAAAAUGGCCCAUUUUUCAAAUCCUAUAUUAGGCGAGUUUUUUUUAGCCAAUCAAAACGAUGGAAACUCAUAUUAGACGUUUUUUGUUGAUAUUGGCCGAGUUUGGUCGAUAUUGAGCGAUUUCUGGCAUAUAUUGUCUUCAAUUGUCUGGUAUUGGUGCCGCAAUUGUCUCUGUAUCUCGCCAAAUACGUAAUAGUUGAUUAAUAAUAAAAAAUGUAAGAGCUCAACGGAAAUCGACGAGUUCGACGGCGGACAGCCAGAACAACCAAAUAUAAUUUGUGAAUCUUCUUCGCCAAAUAAUUAAAUUAACUCACAGUUAUAUAAUCACGGACAGCCAUGAUCGUUUGUGGGACUAUGAAAACAAGGGGCCACUAGUGAAUAUCAUAUUUACUAAACUAGCGAGUGUUUAUAAAAAUAUCAAAUACUAAUGUACUAUUUUAAUGUGUUUAGAGGCCACCGGUAUUAAGGCUGUAUAGUUUGCCAUAUAAAAGAAUAAGAAGAGUGAAACUAUUUUAAAGUAGAUUUAAAAAAAAGAAGCACAUCGGAACAAUGUUCGCUAUUUUUACGUUUUAAAAUAUUUUAGACAGCCAUAUUUUAUUAUGACGGAAUUUGUCAGAAAGUUUGUUUUAUUCGAUGAAGUGUUAAAAAUGGUGUUUUUUUUUGUAUAUUAAUUAUGACCUUAUGAUAGAAAACUAGAAUCGGAGACAUUGUUCAAAAUGAAGGCAAAUUCACGCUUUAAAUAUUUAUAAUCGGAUUACAUCAUACAUGGUUGGCUCGAGCUUGCUUGACCUGAUUUCUUCUUUGCUCUAGCUGGAGCAGUGUGUGUAUACCACGUGAUAAAUUGCGUCAUAAAUGCUACGUCGGAAGGCAAUAACUUUGCUUCGAUUGAAGACUUUAAACAAUGAUAACUUUUCAUUGUCUUUACCACUUUAAAUGAAAGAUAGCGCAGUCUAUGCCGCUAACAGAGCCCCGCCUUCGGUCUUUCACCAAUUUUUUAUUGAGAGUUUAGUUUCUUAUAACACUUCCACAAAUCUUUUCACGAUACGGCCGUCUGACGGAGUACUGUCAAAACAUUGUUUUGGAAACAGGUUUGUCGAAGUGUUUGAUGAAACUAAUCACCUCAUCAAACUCCGGUUAUAAAACAAAGGUGGAGCUCUUUAUGCUGCAUAGACUGGCCUUUAUUUCAUUUAAAAUGGUGUACGAAGCGAAAAGUUAUC